rnacentral:tRNA from 1 species
UCCCUGGUUGUCUAGUGGCUAAGACUCAGCACUCCCAAUGCAGGGGUCCUGAGUUCGAUCCCCAGUCAGGGAA